ACAGCAGCAGCCGCGGGAAUACAGAGGGUGCAAGCGUUAAUCGGAAUUACUGGGCGUAAAGCGCGCGUAGGUGGUUUGUUAAGUUGGAUGUGAAAGCCCCGGGCUCAACCUGGGAACUGCAUCCAAAACUGGCAAGCUAGAGUACGGUAGAGGGUGGUGGAAUUUCCUGUGUAGCGGUGAAAUGCGUAGAUAUAGGAAGGAACACCAGUGGCGAAGGCGACCACCUGGACUGAUACUGACACUGAGGUGCGAAAGCGUGGGGAGCAAACAGGAUUAGAUACCCGCGUAGUCCCUGUCUCUUAUAA
rnacentral:rRNA from 1 species